rnacentral:misc_RNA from 1 species
GAUGAAGAACGUAGCGAAAUGCGAUAAGUAAUGUGAAUUGCAGAACUCAGUGAAUCAUCGAAUCUUUGAACGCACAUUGCGCCCCCUGGUAUUCCGGGGGGCAUGCCUGUUCGAGCGUCAUUUCACCACUCAAGCCUCGCUUGGUAUUGGGCAACGCGGUCCGCCGCGUGCCUCAAAUCGUCCGGCUGGGUCUUCUGUCCCCUAAGCGUUGUGGAAACUAUUCGCUAAAGGGUGUUCGGGAGGCUACGCCGUAAAACAACCCCAUUUCUAAGGUUGACCUCGGAUCAGGUAGGGAUACCCGCUGAACUUAAGCAUAUCAAUAAGCGGAGGA